rnacentral:rRNA from 1 species
UUCCGGUUGAUCCUGCCGGAGGCUACCGCUAUUGGAGUUCGAUUAAGCCAUGCGAGUCGCGAGAAAUUAGAUUCUCGGCGUACCGCUCAGUAACACGUGGGUAACCUGCCCUAUGCUGGAUAAUAACCUCGGGAAACUGAGAAUAAUGAUCCAUAGUUCACUACGCCUGGAACGGUGAGUGGAUGAAAGCCCCGGCGGCAUAGGAUGGGCCUGCGGCGUAUCAGGUUGUAGGGGGUGUAACGUACCCUCUAGCCCUCUACGCGUACGGGUGUUGGGAGACAUAGCCCGGAGAUGGAUUCUGAGACACGAAUCCAGACCCUACGGGGUGCAGCAGGCGCGAAAACUUGGCAAUGCGAGAAAUCGUGACCAGGGAACUCCAAGUGCAUCGGGUAAGACCGAUGCUUUUCUUGACUCUAAAUAGGUCUUGGAAUAAGAGGUGGGUAAGGACGGUGCCAGCCGCCGCGGUAAUACCGGCGCCUCAAGUGGUAGUCGCUUUUAUUGGGCCUAAAACGUCCGUAGCCGGUCUGAUACAUUCGUGGGUAAAUCAACCAGCUCAACUGGUUGAAUUCUGCGAGGACGGUCAGACUUGGGACCGGGAGAGGUGUGGGGUACGCUCAGGGUAGGGGUAAAAUCCUGUCAUCCUGAGCGGACCACCUGUUGCGAAGGCGCCACACUAGAACGGAUCCGACGGUCAGGGACGAAGCCUAGGGGCACGAACCGGAUUAGAUACCCGGGUAGUCCUAGGUGUAAACGCUGUGGACUUGAUGUUGGGGGUGCUCCGAGCACUCUCAGUGUCGAAGCGAAGGUGAUAAGUCCACUGCCUGGGAAGUACGGUCGCAAGGCUGAAACUUAAAGGAAUUGGCGGGGGAGCACCGCAACCUGAGGAUUGUGCGGUUUAAUUGGAUUCAACGCCGGA